rnacentral:rRNA from 1 species
ACUCAAAUGAAUUGACGGGGACCCGCACAAGCAGUGGAGCAUGUGGUUUAAUUCGAUGCAACGCGAAGAACCUUACCCAGGCUUGACAUGCACAGGACAGUAACAGAGAUGUUACCUCUCUUCGGAGCCUGUGCACAGGUGCUGCAUGGCUGUCGUCAGCUCGUGCCGUGAGGUGUUGGGUUAAGUCCCGCAACGAGCGCAACCCUUAUCAUUAGUUGCCAACACGUAAUGGUGGGAACUCUAAUGAGACUGCCUAGGUUAACUAGGAGGAAGGUGAGGAUGACGUCAAGUCCGCAUGGCCCUUAUGUCUGGGGCUACACACGUGCUACAAUGGCAGGUACAGAAGGAAGCGAAGCCGCGAGGUGAAGCAAAUCCAACAAAACCUGCCCCAGUUCAGAUUGUAGUCUGCAACUCGACUACAUGAAGUUGGAAUUGCUAGUAAUGGCGAGUCAGCAACAUCGCCGUGAAUACGUUCCCGGGUCUUGUACACACCGCCCGU